AUGUUGAACGGCAGCACAUAUACUAAAAUUGGAACGAUACAGAGAAGAUUAGCAUGGCCCCUGUGCAAGGAUGACAUGCAAAUUCGUUAGGCUGGAGAGAUGGCU